rnacentral:rRNA from 1 species
GAUGAACGCUAGCUACAGGCUUAACACAUGCAAGUCGAGGGACCGGCGCACGGGUGAGUAACACGUAUCCAACCUGCCCUUUACUCGGGGAUAGCCUUUCGAAAGAAAGAUUAAUACCCGAUAUAAAGGACGGGGAUGCGUUCCAUUAGGUUGUUGGUGAGGUAAAGGCUCACCAAGCCUUCGAUGGAUAGGGGUUCUGUGAGGAAGGUCACCGACAGUUGAACUGAGACACGGACCAAACGCCUACGUGAGGCAGCAGUGAUGAAUAUUGGUCAAGGGGCGCUAGCCUGAACCAGCCAAGGAGCGUGAAGGAUGAAGGCUUUGGGGUCGUAAACUUCUUUUAUAUAAGGAUAUGUAUUAGAUGAAGAAGGAGCGGCUAACUCCGUGCCAGCAGCCGCGGUAAUUC